rnacentral:lncRNA from 10 species
GGCAAUAUCACCUUUCUACUUUUACUACCCUAUUGUAGUAAUCUCCUAGUGAGUCUCAUUGUCUACUUUCUCUCUUCCCCUAUUUAUUACAUUUACAGGGACUUAACUCAAUUUAUCUUGAGAGGUAACAUCCAGGCUCUGAGGUUGCAUUAGGAGUUGAGACAAUGCAUAAAGCUGAUGUGUGAACUGCAGAUGAGAGUGACAAUACAUGCACUGUGGGGGCCAUACUGAAUUAGCCAGAGGUAACUGGAAGGAUUUGUCCUAUGGGAAGGGAUGCUUUACAUCUUCAUCUGUGCUCUACUACCAUUUCCUUAAGCUAGGGACCUCCUGUAACAUUUUUGCAUUUCUGAACCUUGGAUAUUGAUUCUCCUGGUCACCCAGACACCAUUUUAUAAGUCUCAUGAGAUCUUAUGGCUUUAUAAAGGGCAGUUCCCAUGCACAUGCUCUCUUGCCUGCCACCAUGUAAGACGUGACUUUGUUCUUCCUUGGCCUUACAGCGGUACAGUAUAAAAGACAGAGUGUAAUAUGUAGGAAAAGGCACUGAGAAACUGGCAGACUGUCAGAGUUCCAAGCUGCGAGGCAAGAAAAACUGAAAUGUAUAGGAGCACAUCAGAGCAAAGUGAGCAGAAGGGAAGCAUGGCUCUGCCAUAGCACAUGAGAAAUUAGCCACAUGGGCUACAUCCCUAGGGAAUCUGGUGGCUUUGAGUAUCUGAAGACUGUACUGUGGGCAAAGACCUGACUUAAUUUUUUGUGUCUUUAAGGGACAAAACUGGAACAAGUGAAUGAAAGUUACCAU